rnacentral:rRNA from 1 species
UACGGAGGGAGCUAGCGUUGUUCGGAAUUACUGGGCGUAAAGCGCGCGUAGGCGGCUUUAUAAGUUAGAGGUGAAAGCCCGGAGCUCAACUCCGGAACUGCCUUUAAAACUGCAUCGCUUGAAUCCAGGAGAGGUGAGUGGAAUUCCGAGUGUAGAGGUGAAAUUCGUAGAUAUUCGGAAGAACACCAGUGGCGAAGGCGGCUCACUGGACUGGUAUUGACGCUGAGGUGCGAAAGCGUGGGGAGCAAACAGG